ensembl:lncRNA
CUUUCUUUAUGUUCCUGAAGUAUAGGCACAUUGCAGUAACUGCUGGACAAAGUGCAGAAGAAGCAGCUGAGAAUGCAUGGAGAGUUAGGCUAGUGCAUCAGCCUUUCAAUCACCUUUGUUUUGUUGAGGUGUUGUGGAAGACAUGCUGAAAAAAUAUCAGGGCUGCUGUUAACUGUCUGAAUUUAAAGAAGCACCUAAAUAUGGAGAAGUUCCCAACCAGUCAGAAUCUGGUUGUGUGCUUACUGGUCCCACCUAGGACCGGUCGUGCUCUCAUUUAUCAUUUCUGGCAAAAAUCUCCUCAUUGACACCUGAGGUGCAGCACUGCUCUCCUUGCCUCUUCUGCCAUUCUGUCUUACAGCUGCCUCACUGUGGGCAGAACUGGCACUCAGACUGGGAAUUUGGGCUUGUUCCUGGUCAGCCAUCCAGCACACACAGGGAAUAAGGCUGAGGAAACAACUGAGACUUACCUGCAGGGACAGCAGUGCAUGCAAACAGCCUGUCUUCAUCACUUCUGAGCUUUGAGUAUCUGUCUUCCCUGCUUUAAUAUUAAUUCUGUUGGUAUUUCUGUGGUUGGCUGUUUUUAUUGGUGGAUUUUAAGGAGAGAAAUUGCUUUCUUUGUUCCACCCUGCCCUAGGAGAGAGCAGCCAUCAGCAACAGCACCUACACCAAGCAUGGAGCCGUGGGCAGUGCAGAGACCACGCAGCUGAUGUUUAUGGAACUGCGUGUUUUUAAAGCGCUCAGUGUUUUAGAUACUAUAUUGCACCUCAGCCCCUCUUUUACUGUCCCAGCUUCCUAUGGAGAUUUGUGUCACACUCAGCAGACAAGUUCUUUACACCCAGUUGGGAUAUUCCAUGCAAUCUGCUUCCCUUUAGAAUAUGAAAGAAGCAUGUCUGUUUAAAGGCACCCCUCACUCUAUCUGCACGCACUGAAAUUGCAGUUUAUCCUUCUGCCCUGGCUGAACCCUGAGAGAUUGCACCUGAAUGUCAAUUCCUUCUCUACCUGCUGAUUUUCAAGACAUGUCCACCUACUGCAAUGCUAAAGCUGUUAUGAAAAAAAGGAGCAGAAAAAGCUGAAAAGAACAUACACCUAUUUUAUAAAAUAAAGAACUGAAAACAACAAAAAAUAAUGUUAAAAUUUCUAAUUUGCCAACUAAAGAUGCUGAUGGUAGCUAUAGGAGACGCAGGGGGCAGCAAUAAGAAUUUUGCCUGUCACAGUGCUAACAGAAAAGGCGGUUUUACAUGACUGUAGGCUUCUGAGUUACAGCUUGAAAUCAGUGUUCAUUUGACAGUAAAAAUAAAUAAAUCAGAUGAGAAUUUAGGAAGGGUAAUCCUUUGCACAGCUCUGCCAUAUCAGCCUCUUUUAAACACAGAAACGAUGCCACGUGUGCCCCGUGAGGUGCAGGACUCCACCUCCAGCCGUGGCGGCUGAGAUGCUGCCCGGAGGGAGUCUGCAGACACUGCAGCUGUGGGCAGCAGGCUGCCCUGCAGGGGGCACAGCCAGAGGGUUCUGGAUACUGGAAAGUAUAUCUUUGGUGAUUCCUUGUACUUGCCAAGUCCCCGACACUUGUGCUCUCCUGGCUAGCCAUCUGUUCUACAUUCUGAGAUUAUGAUUAUGUGUUAUUUCACUAACUUGUAACUUUUUCUGCCUUUUCUUUGAUUUUUUUAUUAUUAUUAUUUUUUUAUUUUUUAAUGCGGCAUAUAGUCAGGUCCUUUAAGUAUUUCCAUUAAGUGACUGAGAAAUGCUCCAAUAUUACUGGAGUUCCUGGUUCUUCCUUGAACUCUCCUGUGAUGGAUCCAGGUCAUAUAGAAAGCAUAUGACAGAGCUGUAAGUAGGAGCCAAGCCUUUUAACCUCCAGUGGACACACAAGACUGUCUGUUUUCAAAGGCAAUGUGCUGCUUGCUUAGUUACGUGGUACUGGAGGAAAAUACUUUAUUGCAAGCUGUUAAAACCAGGCCAGGCACAACUGUGCUGUGGUCGUGUGUCUGCUUUCACCAUUCUCGGAUAUAAACCUAUGCUCAACUUCACAAGCUGCUAUCCUACUGGAGGUAACUAAACACUUGCUACAGGAAUUCAAUGCAAACUCUUGAUGUACCUUAUGCUGCUUUUCUGCUGCCGACAAAAUAGAGGGGAUUACCACCUGACCUGCUCUUGUUCAAGAGCAUCUGUUGACUAUGAAUCACAAAGGGUCGAACUCUUUAGGAAUCCACCUCACCUCUUGAGAGCAAGUCAUUUCAGCAUCCUUCUGCAAACAGAACUGAUUAUUUCUCAGGCGUGAAUGAAACUGUGGGAGCCCUUUGCUAGAUGGCAAGUGCUAUUUUGAACCAGUCUUUCAUGGUGUUUUGUAAUAAUAUAGCAACCUGAUUCUCUGCAUUUAUUUAUGAAAGUAAAUGGAGGCUAGGAAUCAACUUUGGAAAGCUUUUGGUGCUAAUGCAGCAUUGCUUCUAGAAUGGUUACUUGUGUGAUACUUCUAACAAGAUGAAUCAGCAGAAGCACAAAAGGCAGCAUGCCAAAAUGUUUCCUGUCUUGUUCUGUUGGCUCUUAUGUGCAAAUUUCAUAAUAGCAGUAGAGAAGGCUGAUAUGACAACAGCUUUCAAAUAUGAAGAAGCUGCUGCCAAGGGGAAGGGAAUAAUCUCUUUUCUCUGUUUAAGAGAGAUUUGGUUUAAAUAGCAGCUAGGUUAGAUCAGUUGCCCUGAACCUGGAGUUUGUAAACCCCUGGGGAUCUUUCGAAGGCUCUCUGGUCCAUCUGGCUCUAAGUGUUAGCAGACAGGGGCUUUUAACCAGUCCAGAGUAAUCAUUCAUUUUGUGAUAUUUUUAUAUGUAGAUUUUUGUUGUUAUCUCUAUGGACAAAGCUGAAUGUAUGGAGACAAGUUCCCAAGCAACCUAAUCCGAGUAGACUGGCUUUGAGGAGAAGGCUGAACUUGAUGACCUUUGGAGGUCCCUUCCACCCUAAAUUAUCAGUGAUUUUGUAUAACGUGUUUUCUGAGAGCUCAGAGAUGUCAUUUGGUUAUAGGGGAGAGGCCAAUUUUAGGCCUUCUUUGUGCGGUUUCCCCAGCAGUGCUGAGGUUGUGUGGCUCCUGGUGUGAGUCUGUGCAGUCCUACACAAGUUGCACUGACUUCUAAUGACUAUUUAGAUCCCCAUAAGCUGAGACUUAUAGAAUAUUAACUGGGCUAACCUCUUCCUCUGUUCUGUGACAGGGGCACAGUACCACAAGCGUAGCUUGACCUUGUACCUAGGAGUGCAUGUAAAAGAAAUGAAGACUCAAGACGAACAACAAAGACUAGGUGUCUUUAAGUUGAAAGAAUUAUCUGAGCCAAGAAAGGGCAUUUGAGGAGCUGGAAUACUUUCAUACCAGGCACAGAUAUAAUUCCAGCUCCAAAGAAAAGGUUUGAAUGUGAGUGUUGCAGGAAGAUAUUUGCACUGUUUCUAGGAAUUUAUUCUCUGGCAGCUAGGUGAGGAAGAAGAGGAAGUGUUAUUUAUUACAUAGCCAUCUGUAGUCCUUGACUGGAAUUCCACAUCUCCUAUUGCAUCACCAUUCUCUGUACCCACAAGGAAGAGGAAGCUACUGUCAGAACUUGGAGCAGCUGAAGUGUUAAGCAUUUCCUCCCACCUUACUUUGGUUUAUCCUUGAUGUUCCUUUGCUUGGUAUUUCGUGAUCCUGGUAUAGCCCUGGACAUAGAGACCUCUAGGACUUCAGUGGCAAGGUGAAACAAUAGCAUACCAAACUAUGGCAUAAGUUUGAGAAGAUUUUUUCAGGGACUGAAGCCACUGAUUAACUGAGCUGCUUUUUUUCUGCUGUCUGUCCUUUAUGUGCUUCUCUUUGGUUUAAAAGGGAGGAGGGGACAGUGGGCUUUAACAGCAGCUUCUGAAAUUGGCUUUCUUCUUUCUAGCAAGUACAGGUGAUACGUCUCCAAUAUCUCCUAAGAGCACAUUGAUCGUUUUCUAUUUGGAAGCUUUUAUAUAAUAACACUCUGUUACUGAAGACAAGCUCAGAUUUGUUUAUUGAGUCACCAUCUGCCAGAAGAGGGUCUCAGAUGUUCUCCAUGAUGACAAGAGUACAGAGCCAGUCCCACUGCACAUGGACCCCCCUGCUACCCAGAACCAGCUGGGGUUCUCUUUCCAAGCAUGACAUCUGAAGCACUGCUCAGUUUCUCAAGGACCCCAGCAAGGCAAAAAUGUCUCACACAAUAGGAAUGCAGAGAAAUGAUGGGUUGGAAUAAAUCAGGAAUUGACUUAGUUGUUCUCGUUUCAACCAGAUACAGAAAAGUUCCUCCAUGGGCAGUUAUUAGCAGCCUAUACACUAACAAAUGUUCUUCCUAGUGUUCUUGUUAAAAUUAAAAUAAAUAAAUAAUUGUUGUUUUAAAAUAGAUAACCUCCCAUGUUUAAAGCAAAAGUUCCAACCUUGUAAUCUUCCCUUCCUAGCUUUUAACUUGUGAUCUUUCACCUCCUUUAUACUGGUACCACUACUGCUCACCAGCUACAUCAGUGAGUUAUCUGGGUAAGAACUGGCAUGGGGUAACGUCAUGUGGGAGAUGGCAGGAAUGCCAAUGCUGGAGGAAGGCGGGAUGUCCCUCUUCCAUUCCUUGGUCAUUAUCCAGACAUAUUGGAUUAAAUCCAUGGUAAAACCUCAGCCUGGCAUUUGAUGAAGGGUGCAGGAUGUUCAGGAUCCACUGCUUUGGGAUGCAGGGACUGCAGGGUGGACUCAAACGGUUCUCAGUGAUCAAAGAUUGCAGUGUUAAAACCAACAGGCGACAUGACAGCCAUACAUCAUAUUAGCAAAAGAGCACUUCCAUGUGCUCUGCUGGGAGGCAAUGGUUCUGUGGGACACAUGCCAGGUGCUUCAAGAGCAUCCUGUAGCCAUAUAUCUGGCAGGGCAGGCAGAAGGAACGUGCUAAGCAGUAGCCUCACUCGCAGACUUCUGAAAUGACAAAUAUUCCUUAAAGGAGUCCAUUAAAAUAAAAUAAUGCCCUUUCAAUGUACAUAGGGAACAUAUAUAACAAAAUAUAUGAAGUACCUGUGUAUUUUCUCUAUUUGAUACCUGAAUCCAUGAGAAUAGGGGAUAAGGUACUUUCAGAACUGUAGAAUGGUAGAUAGUAGACAACAAAUUGUCUCAAAACACACUGAGAUAUGUUUGUAUUCCAAGUGAUGUGUGCCAGAUAUUGGGCAACAAAGUACGUGUUUUUGUGGAGAUGUGACCCAGCUGGUCUGUUGAGCCUUUGGUAAUGCACUUCAUGCUACUUGAGACUAUAUAGUGCUUCUAACCAUCCUCCCAGGGCAGUUUUCUCCUGCGACUCCACAGCCUUUGGGAGUUGCAUGGCCACAGCAAACAAGUGGAAGUAAGGAGCUUUCAUCCAACAGUGCCUGUUUUUCAAUCAACUCAAAAUCCACCAAAGUGCUUGAGUGGAAGGAGGACAGUCAGGAAAGCAAAAGAGUAUCUGGAGUUGUGAGUGCUGAAGUGUGCCUGGAGGCAGGGGUUAAAGGCAGCUGGAGGAGCAAAGAAACGCAGAGGGAAUAUGGAAUAGAAAAGUGCAUCAAAGCCUGGGUGAGUGAGUUAUGUCCUGAAGUGGUGUGUUUUGAUGGCCCGGUGUUGUUGAGCUAGUUGGAGAUGAGCACAGCACUGUACUCUUCAACAAAAGAGAUGAGAGUGGAUCAGGAGCAGACCUCUGUAUCCUGCUAACAGACUGGUCUAUGGAAGGGAGGCAAGCUCCUUGAUACAUGUAACCCUAAGCCAAGUGUGUUCCAUGGUUUUAGAAUUGUGGGUUAGGAGAACGAUAGAGUAACAGUAGCUAAAAUCACCCAGGUAAAGACAACUCUUCAGGGGUAAAUGAUGGCUGGUAUGGAGAGAUAAAAGAGCUGGACUGCAAGGAGAGAGGAGAACGGAGAACAGAGUUUUCAUUUCCAGCUCAGCUGGUCUUGUUGUAGUUUGAGCGCACGCUUAGGGUUUCUUGCUGUGCUCCAUAACUGGUGAAGCUGGGGGAGAUAGGAAGGGUCCCACCAGCACAGGAUGGUGCUGGAACAGAUGGAGCAGUCUGAUUCUUCCAUCAGGCUGGUGACAGUGCUCUCUGGAAGGUACCGUGCUCGCCUGUCGGGAUCCCUGAAGAUAAUAGGCUCUGUGCUCUCCAGAGAUGGACCGCUGCAAACGAGUCAUCUGGAACUAAUGGGUUUUGUGCCUUUGAUUGGACUGUGCUUUUCUGUAUACCUCCUUUGUCAGCCUAAAGGUCUGCUGAGAUCCAAACCAUGCUGUAAUUAUUUCCACACACAACAGCAAAGGUUGCUCUUUAAGCCGAAAUUUUGUCUGAUGUAUCUUCCCAGGAAAAUAAGCUUGAAUAAUUACUGGUUUUUAACAGUAAAAAGAUGUAACUUGUGUUUCGGAGGAUUAAAAUCUACAACCUUAUCUAAAUACAGAAAGAACAGCUGGCAAAAUGGAGUUUCUUUCUACAACUUAAACAGAAUCUGUCCUCCCCAAGCCUGGUUGGUUCUCAGCCUGCGUACACCUGUGUUAAUUUAAUAUGGUUCUUCAGUGGACGACGUUUGAGAGCAAGAAGGCACCAGUUCUGUCUCCUCUCUCUGUAUGGAUUCUCCCCUCGUUGUCUCAGCAGACAACACUUUGGCUUGCAGCCUUGGAGGAUGAUAUUUAGUACAGUGACUGUCGGAGGAGUGGGAUUUGUGGUGACUGGGAUUUUUGAAGCAGGUCUAAAUCCUGCUGGCUUGCAAAGAGAGUAAAUUCUAAAGGGUCACAAAUGCUGAUACCACUUGGGAGCUUCUGCCAUCUUACCAGACUUGAAACUGUGAGAACUGUUAUAGGAAUCAGCUUUGAAAUGACCAAAGGUAUCAGCUUGUCCUCCAUUAGAAAUAAUUUCUAGGCCUUGGGCUGCACCCAGAAAAAUAAAAAUAAUCUGAAGAGAUUUUAAUUAUAUCUCCACUAGUAAUAAAGCAGCUUUUUCCUCCAAAUUAAUAUGAUCGAUGUCUGUAUGCUAUUGAGAAAUGAGGGAUGUCCUUCUCAAAUAGUAUAAAGUGCACACUUUUGUCAGUUUCUUCUAAAAAUAAUAAUAAUAAGAAGAAAGGGAUUGCUGUCUUUCUGGGCUAGAAACUAUUUGUUCCUCUUAAAAAGCCUUUAUAAGUGUGAGGUGUCUGCCGUCACUCAGAACAGGGAAGCUGGUGCCUGGAGUAUCUGCACCUUUCAUGUCUGUGAGGGAACGAAAGAGCUUUGUGCAGAGAGGAAUUUCAGUCUGAAUCACAGACUGUAGUUUUGUUGGAAAUGGAAGAGUAGAUGCAGUGAAAAACUGAAGAGGGAAGUGUCUCGAACUCCAAAAUUCCUGCACUUCCUAUUAAUAGAUCUGUGUUUAAAAUAAUGUGAAAAAGUAAAUCUCUCUAAGGCAUUGAAUCAUGUGCAUUCCCACGAGUGCUCAGCAUGUGUCUGUGCUCCACAUCUCUCAUCAGACACUGUCCCUUCCAUGUUGGCUCCAGGCUUGCACUGCAGCAGGAACCUCAGUGGCUUUGGGGAUUGAUAGCUGACCUGGUGGUUCAUGAAACAUUUGUGUUCUCCAUACUUUAUUAGUCACUGACAGACUCAUUGUUUAUAACAUACUUCUCAGCAAGCUGUUUGCGACUCAUCGCCCUGCUUGCUUUAUAGUCUAUAAAUAUUUAAUUCUUUAAUAAACAGCUUAUAUGUAAUAUCAAAUGACUGAUGCACUUCUUUCCACUCUUCAGCAGUGCUACUAUUUGCAAAACAAUCUAUUUUUUUUCUUUCUUUUUGAAUAUCAAUAUGUUUCAUAAAUUCUUGAAUUUCCUUUUCUAAACAGCCAUUUCUUCAGGGUGCUUGGUACAAUGACAAGCAGAGCAAUGGUUCCUGUGGCAUUAUAAUAGCUGCCCCUUUCUAAAGUCUCCAUGGGGAGAUUCACUUCACAGUGGUCACAGAUUUGCAAUCAGGAGUAGUUUGAAACAGCAGCAGUCAUAUUUCACAGCUGUGCAUGUUAAAGAGCAGCAGCAGCCUGCACGGCCAGAACAGCCCUGCAGAAGCUGUGUGAGAGCAUCCCUGGUAGUAUGCAGAGCAGUGUGGGCAUCUCAGAGUAUCACUGCCUCUUGCUGCGAGCUGCAUCACCACUCCUCUGCUUCACACACAUUGCUUAUAUGGUACAACCUGUGCUUCUUUUCCCAUCUGUAAUCUUCUUCCUGCUACCUAUAGAAAGAGUCGCUGAUGGGAUCCACUGCGCUGGGGUCAGAAAGCCAUUGGUAUGGGUGGGUGAGGCGGAGGUGAUCUGCUUGGGUCACUGCGGCUCAUGGCAGCAGCUCAGUGCCUUGCAGCAGACAGGCUCUAGGGUACUCUCUGAGGUCUGGCUGGCUGCCAUACCAGUUGCAUUUUGUCUGGAUGGUAACGUGUCUCAGUAGGGCCUUCAAGAGUGUUGUGUGGUCAUGGACGGGAUAUUCAUAUCUAACCCUAAGUCAGGCUGAUGGUCAGACUUCCCUUGUGCCUUGAAUUUUUGCACUUUUUCAACUUUGAGCAGAGAGAGGCUGGAUUUAGGAUUCCUGCCUAGAGGUGGUAUUGGUGUCCUGUUUUUGUUCGGAGCUGGCAGACUUGCCUUGUGCUCAGAUUCCCAGGUGGCUUUACAGAAGGGUGUGUGCGUGUGCAUUACAAAUGCAUCUGUGGAGAUGCAGGAAGGAACUUGAUUCGGAGAACUAAUAGAUGAGAUCAUAGUUAUGAAUCUUCAGGCAUUGGGCAGCAGUCCCUCUUUGCUAUGGGCCACUGCAUCCUCUGCCCAUUAGUCCUUAGAUGAGAGCCUUAUCCUUCUGUUCAAGGUUCUUGGUGCUCUUUUAGUGAUAGAGCCUGCUUGAAGACCUGGUAGCUGUUUGCUCAGGACUCCACAGCCUGCUUUGAACAGAUGCUCAUACCAUAUCCUUGUCAGACACUAUUAAAAGGCAGAGAAACAACCCCGGUCUGGCAGCUGGGGAUCUGCUCAGUAGUGUUUCUAGUUAUUGGCAGCAUCUGCAUGUGCCCACAGGAUGGAAGGAGAGGACAGCUCCUCUGAGAACAGGUCCCACCUGCAAGUCUUUAUUUUCCAUCCUGCCUGUUCUCUUCUUGUGUUUAAAGCCAUGGUCCUUCUCUGGAGAUAAGGCUGGCAGCAGUAUGAGCCUUUCUUACACCAUGGGCGUUGUAGAGGCUGAUUCAGGAUCUGUGCACAGCGGGCACACAAGCAGGUUUUUCUAAUGUCCUUCGCUAAUGUCACUACGCUGCAAUGAGGGCGUUGCUGUUCUGUGAUGGCCCAUUAAAUCUUUGUUAACCCUAAGUACAUACAAGACCCUGAUCCAAAAAAGCAUUCCUAGCAGAGCACAGAGCAGCCAAGAGGUUCUUCUCCAUACACACACAUUUGUGUGUUAAAAAUAUCAAGUGAUAACAAUUCCCGUUCUGAGGAAGAAGCAGGUGAGAGAGGAUCACAGAAUCACAGAAUGGCUUAGACUGGAAGGGACCUUAAAGAUCACGUAGUCCCAGUGCACCUGCUGUGGGCAGAUCAGGCUGCCCAGGGCCCCAUCCCUGGCCUUGGGCUUCUCCAAGGAUGGGGCAUUCACAGCCCUCCGGGCAGCCUGUGCCAGGGCUUCACCACCUCUGGGUAGAAAUUUUUUUCCCAACAGCUGAUCUAACUCUCCACUCUUUUAGUUUAAAGCCAUUCACCAUUGUCCUACCACUCUCCUGUUGAUAAGCUCCCCUCAAGUACUAGGAGGUUGCAAUGAGGUCUCCCCAGUCUUCUUUUCUCCAGCCUGAAGAAGCAUUGUUCCCACCGCCUAUCUUCAUAGGAGACAUUCUCCAUCCUCUGAUAAUCUUUGUGGCCCUCCUCUGAAGCUGCUCCAACAGUUCCACAUCCUUCUUGUGCUGGGAGCCCCAGGCCUGUAUACAGUGCUCCAGAUGGGGUCCCACAAGAGCAGAGCGGAGGGGACAAUCCCCUCCCUGCCCCACUGCCAUUCCUCUGCUGAUACAGCCCAGGAACCAGGAAUCACUGUCUGCCAGGUCUGUCCCACCUUCAGUAUCCUGGUGGCACAUGUGGCUGGGAGCAGCCCACUCCCAGACUGUCAUCCCUGUGCUGGAGGCACAGAGCAGUGGGCAGGGCAUGGGCACUGCAUCACUUGUACUGUCCCUGAAGCAAUGCACAGAAGCCUGCCUUGAGCCAGCAACAGCAUCUAAACACUAACACGCACUGCCGUGUUGUCACUUUACCCACAAGGCUGUCAUUGAGCUCCUCCUUUGUUACUGAAGCAUGGCACUUAACACAUUCUCCCUCCAGUUCCUCUUCCUGUCCCCCUCCCACCGUGUAUAUCACUGAAAUUUCUGAAUGGAAGCAGGGAAUGGUGUAGGCACUGAGCUCCUGGUCCUCAAAGAGUCUCCAGGCAGUGAGCAUGACUGGUGCCCCAGCUUAAGUAUGAGUAAUGAUAAAUAAGUAAAUCACGCAGUGGGCUGUGCUAUUCCCUAAUGAGCCUGUUUGUCCCAAGCGCUGUGCAGAAAACACUCUUCUCCUUGGCAAUAACCUUUCUGCAUAUUAACAUUAUGCAUGUAUUCAUGUGACUUCCUCUGCUUCACCACCACCUCCUUCAACUGAUUUAAAUAAAAAUAAUUUAUGUGGACAUUCCUUCAGUCAGGAUUCCCCCCCCCCCCCCCCCCCCAAUAAUAUAUCGUUGAUGCUGUGCACCCAAAUGGGGUCGUUAUGCCUUUGCAUAUCAUUAUAAAGAAUUAUAAAGAACAACAGCGACAUCUGCAUGUGCUGCAGCGCUACAGAGAUGGGCAAAAAUAGAGAAAACAAACCCCAAAUGAGCUCUGAGCUUGUCUGGCUCUGUCUUUCCUCAGUGCCUUUGCCACUACCAUGGACGAAAGUAAUUGUACAGUGUAAUCACAUCACAGCUCAUCUGAAUAUUCAUAGCCGAGACAAAGACUUGGAGAAGAAACGUGGGGGAGGGAGAAGGAGGAAAAUUUAAAUAUAAAACAGCAUUUCAUUUUGAAGCAAAGUUCUGCAUUCAGCUCAAGAGAUCGUCUCGAUAUUGAUAUUGUCUAUCUUUCUGCCAUUCAAGACCAGCGGGCAGCAUAGCAUCGCGCGGGCAGCCCCCUCCAUUGGGAAAGAAAAUAAAGCAAAACAACAAACAGCGGUAGAAAUGCCCCCAGCAAAAAUGAUAUUUGAAGAGUCGCCAACAGUGGCUAACCAGCUGCUGUUUUACCACAGAAGAAACAGUCUAUUGAGGGAGCUUUAUAAAGACCCCAAUUAAUAUGUUGUGCAUGUAUAAGACCUACAAAGAGCCCACUGUGUUCCUCCCCCCGCAACCACCACCACCUCAUUCCUAUCGGUGCCGGUGGAGAAGGAUCUGAACUACCAAAUAAUUGAUUAAUCUCUUCGGCAGUGACAACACCCCUCUCCAAAAUAAAGAGAGAAGAAAAACAAACACAAGAGGCAAUUGCUUGCUAAUUAAUGCAUAAAUUACCGCUGGUUCCAUCCUCCUUUUUAUCUUCAAAAAAAAAAAAAAAAAAAAACAGAAAAGCAAGAGAAAGAGAAAUAUAAUCCCCAUCUUAAUGUAUAUGUUGUCUUCAUUUCUUUUGUUUUACUCUGGUAUCCUUUACUAAUAUUAACCAAGAAAUGUGGUGUUUGUUGAAGCCGCAGCUGGCUCUGCCAGUCUGUUCCCCAAAGAGCUCCUAUUUCCAUUCCACUGGAGCUUAUAUUCCUUUAAAUGUCUAGCGCAGCAUCGUUUACCCCUUUCUAAUACAUCACUCUGCUGAAAUUAGAAGAAUCCAAGGUUAUAUCCAACUUCAAAGGUUUCCAAGUCACCAUGAUUUUAGGAAAAGUAGAAGACAGACCAUGGAACAAGUCCCUGCUUUUGAAGAUAGGCAUCACAGGGACCUUCCUCCCUCUGCCUCUUUCUCGCUCUCCCUCUCUCUCCCCCCAACUUUGUACCUCUCCAGCUCUGAACGUCCUGUGCUAAUGCAGUUUAAUGAUAUGCAAAUGAAAUAUGCAUAAAACCAUUCUACUGUAUGAUGAUUAAACACUGGAGACAUUAACAGCCGACACUCCGCUGUUUGACUAUAAUAAUCUUUCCCGAAUAUCCACUUUGAUUGCGGAGUUAUGGAAACCCAUAGCAGUUGGCAGAGAGAGAGGGAAGGGAAGGAAGGAGAGAUGCGGGGACACAUCACCCAUCUCUGCAUUUAUCCCACUCCAGGAGACGUUUCCCCCCCUUUGUACUGCGUUCCUACUGCUGUCUUUUGUAAUCCAUCCAUGCGGUCGCACCAGGGCGAUUAACGGGAAAAAAACCCUCUUUUCUCUUAAUGUUUCAAAGCUCAUUAGCCAAACGAUUAUUCCUCAUUAACAGCGAAAGCUCAUUCAUUAACAGAAAAAAUAUGCCCAAAAGAUGCCAGCGCUGUUAAUCCCGAGCCCUGUAGCUGGGCUGUAAAUCCCAUGCUAGUAUUUUCCACGCAGAGGGGAAUCGCGCCAAUCCACAAAAAAAAAAAAAAAAAAAAAAGGAACAGCAAGAAGAAAACAUUUUGUGUGUUUUGUAAAAUCCGCAAGAGAGGCAAUUAAUAUUCCCGCUGUGUGACUUUAUUUUUUGUCUCUCCCUUUUGUUUCCAGUGCCCUUCCCUGGCUCAGCGCCCGGUGCCAACAGAACACCUUGCAGGAUCCUCAGCAGCGCAGACAACACAACGUAAGUAGCCAGCUGUCCCUUGACGCCCUCUUCCAAAAGCCCUCCGGCCCCUGCAGAGUGUGUGCGGCUCUUUCCCUCGCUCACCCUCCGGAGUGCCACCUGGGUUUCACAAGUAGCACCUUCCAAAUCUCUCUGUCUUCAAGUUUGUGCAUGUCUGUGUGGCAUCCCUCCUCCUCCUUCACUCCUAUAGUGGAUCUUGCAAAGGGCUUCAGAUCGGCCCCAUUCAUCUCCCUGGUGAUAGCAGUGAAUGUAGAUAAAUCUCUGACUGCCUGCUUGCUGCUGGAGUAUGAUUUUUAUUUUGUCUUCCGUGUAUACCUAGGUCAAAAAGUGGGAUGUAUGCUCACACUGUGUGGAUGCGUGUGUGUGUGAAUUUGUCUCUCCCAAGCACACAAACGUACAUCUCCUCACACGUGUAUGUACGCAUAUUACAUGCGUGCACACAGAUAUAUAUCCCCGCACAUGUAUGUGUGCACACAGUACACACACAUCUCCGCACACACGCACACACACUCAUACUUCUAAUCUGCAAUUAUCUGAGGCAUUGUGUGCAUGUGUGUAUGUGUGUCCACACGCACACUGCUCUGUGUGUAUGUGCAUACACAGGCAUCUCGCUAUCUACAAACAUUCCCUCUCCUCCCAGCAGAGGCUGUGUGCAGCUGUGAUCCUGCCCUAUGAGAGCGGUAUUCCUUCCUUCCCUCGGCGUGCUGUUUGGAGACCUUCGUGCUCCCCUCUCGGGUCCCUCCCGAGCUGCAGGGCUGGCACCUCUCCCUCAGCUUGUCCGAAUGGCGAAUGGCACUGUCCGUCGCCCGCGUUGGUACAGCCUCAGAUGGCACUUCUCUCUGGAUGUCGGCUGCUCCCUUUUGUUUGUUGUUGCCCAAUCUGGGUGUGGUGGGGCUUUUUUUGGAGUUAAUUGUAAAUGAACCUGAAUGGCAAACACAUCAACAGCUUGCGAAAAAAGAGAAAAGAGAAAAAAAAAAAAAAAGAAAGCCCCUCACAAACGCCUUCUGCUGCGACAGAUGCCCAUGUUGCCCCUGGCACGGCGAGCGGGCACGAGGGGGUUGUUGCCAAGCCUUUUUCUUUUGCCGUUUUUAUUGUCCGCGUUGCCGAUUUCCCUUUAUUUUUGAAGCCUCCAAGAUGCCGGCCUCGGCAUGGAGCGGCGCGGUGUCAUGGCGGAGACGACGGCCUUUGUCUCGCGGGGUGUGAAAGCAUCCGUUGUGCUGGCUCCACUGCGGCAGAAUGACGUUCAAGGGGGAAACGUGCUGGAAGCCGGCGUGCUGUGCCCAUAGCCGAGCGUGUCCAAGGCAGGGCUGGCGGCGGAGAGCCUCGUCUGUAAUCCUGGCACUUGCGCCUCUGCUCACUGCGCGCCGCUUGCUCCUGGGGGUCUGGAUAAUCUCCCUUAGCGUUACCGCACUGUCUGGCCCGCGCACAGGGCCCCCGUAACAUAUACCCGCUGCCGUUAUCACACGGAACUGUGGCGUUGCCACUGAAUGGAUGGCACUGUGCCAACUCUUCUGCCAUCCGCCCUUGCAGCUUUUUUUUCUUCCCUCCUCCCUCCCUCUCUCCCCUCCUCCUCCUCCUCCCGUCGACUUGACGUUAAUUAACACACGGGUUAAUUGAUUUUAAAAGCUGAAGAAUUACAGUUAACUUUUCCCACAGGGUACAGCCGCCUGGCACGGCGCUGCCGCUCGUGCGGUGCAGGGGGGCAGGGAUGCGCCCACAGCAGAGCUGGGUGGCUGCAGAGGCUCUGUCUUUGGAGCACGGCGGAAGGAAGCUGAUGUGCGCCCGUCUCAUCCUUCCCAAGAUGUCACCAUCGUGUUUUGCGACAAACAGUCCCAAUGCUCCCUCCCCUCUGCGCUCAAUGGCUGCACGGGCUCUGCUGGAGGGGCAGCAGGAGGGCAGCUCGGCCGCGUGGCGGGGCUCCCAUCCGCGCAAGCUGGAGGUGCUGGGGCGGGGAGCCUGGGGAACGCUGCCCUUUUCUGCUUAUCCUGUUUUCCAGGGCAUUUUUUGUUUCCUCGGUUGGCUCCGAUAUGUCACUUGGGGUGAAGAAUCUCAACCAGGGGAAAGUUAGAUGGUCGUAAUUACAGGCGAAAUACACCAUGUGAGGGCUUUGUUUUUUCGCUUUCGCUCUACCUCGCCCCGGUCUCUGCUGGUGAAUGACGGUGCGGUUGGGAGGAGACGCGGCGGGGCUGGGAACUCAUCGCUUCCACCUUCUUGUGCUUUCAUUUUAUUUCAUUUUGUUUUUUAAAAGCAUGAAGCAAGUGAAGCGACGAGAGGAAUCCAUUAUGCAAAUCAGGUCACAUUUGCAUAAUGUCUCAUGACUGGAAUAUGCAAAUGAGUUGUAUAAUUUAUGAGUGCCAGUGUCUGUCUAAAAGUGUUUCCCAGAAUUUAUAAAAAGUGAGACGUGGGGAGGGCAGCUGGGCUCGCUGCCCUGCCAGGAGGGCUCUGCGCUUUCUUUUCAAAGUCUUCCUUCAGACCAGCAGCUGAAAUGCUCCUUAAUGAGAAGCCAGCCACCCCUUCCACACUGUCCCCCUCGUUUUCUUUUCUAUUUCUCACUCUGCCAAGCCUGGACCUGCUCGCUCUGAACUUCUUCAGGAGGCGAUGGACCUGCACGCUGGACCAGGACUCUAAAGCCAUGCACCUCUGGGCAGUCUGCUCCAUCCCUGCAUCCGUCUGGGCACUCUGGCACUUCCCGGCAGGGAGGCUGUGCCUUUCAGGCGUGCUGGCUCCAUGGGCAUGGUGUGCAAGGAAUGGGUGUAGGUGUUUGCUUCCCACAGCAUGGUGGAACUGCUGCUCAUUCAGAACACACCGCAACCUGUGCCUAGAGACCCACCUUGACCCUACAAAGAGCAGCAAGGUCUGCGCAGGGCUGGCAGUGCCCCUGAAGAGCAACCUUGAGCUUCCUGCCCUGAGCAGACAGGAGCUAUUUCAGCACUGAAAAGGUCUCUGGAACAUGCUGGAAAUGCAGGACAAGAGCCAAGAUCGAUCUAGUUUAUGUUCACUCUGCAUAUUUGGAGAUCUCAGGAGCAUCAGGAGAACACAGAAACAGGUGGAGGAUGUGAAAGGUUACAGACAAAGACAAUGAUGCUGGAAAAAAAAAGAGCACACCAUAAAAAAGAAUUCCCACUGGAUGCUCAAGAGCAGAGGAUCUAUCAACUGCAGACCAAGCAGAGGCAGAGGCAGGCAGAACCGGAGCAAUAAUGCAGCCAGAUCCAGCAGCUCAGCCAGGAGCUGGAGGCCACCGUCAGCUGCAGGAGGAGGCUCGGACACAGUGUGGCUGAGGAAAAUCACAACACCAGCUGCAUGUAAGAAACUCCUGGAAAGAAGAACAAAGCCAUCUGUUCUCCAUGUCCACGAAGGCAUGCACAAGAACUAAUGGGUGUACCCUACAUCAAGAAAGAUUCAGGUUAGGAACAGCGUCUAAUGGAGAGGAGAACAAAGCAGGUGAACAGACUGCAAGGGGCCUGAGUGUUCUGCGUCACAGGAGAUCUUCAAGGACAGAUAAACAGAAGACAAGGCACCUGUAGGUUCCCCCGUCAUAGAACUGGAAGACAGGCCAUCAGCCUCUUGAGAUUCAUGCCAGCCUUGCUCACUUCCUAAACCCAGCUUUGUUUGUACCCAGAAACUCAUUUGUCUUCUUCAAAGCCCCACCACAGGGUCUCCUUUAGCAUUCAUAUGUUACCAACAUAUCACUUGCCAGGGUGAUUCUUCUCUCUAGAAAAGUGACUGCACGCUUGCUUCCUACCAUGGUUCACCUAACCUCCAAUGAGACUCAGUACCUGCUUUGUGUUGUAAAUGGUGUCCCAUCUUGAAAUGCACUGCCUGUGUUCCUGCACUGGAUAGUAGUGUUGAUCUGUGGGAGUAUUCUUUCCUCUUUCUUGGAACCUCAUUCUUAUGCUUCUGCAGGCUUGUUCACAGGAGACUGGCUGAAGAGCACACUCAUUGCUGUUUUCCCAGCAGAAGAUAGAAAAAUGUGUCAGGAAAUCACUGCAUGCAAAGGAGUUGGAGGAUUUGUGAGUGCAAGACCCCUGCAGAAAAUGGUGUGCAGCAGAGUAGGAAGUGCAUGGUGAAACAGAGGUACUGCUCAAGUUGACAAAAGGAGCAACACCAAAAGCUCACUUGACUGUACUGCCAGCUGAUCAGCUCUUCUGCAUGCGGCCAGGGCAAAUCGGCUUGGGCUCUCAGACUUGUAUGCCUUGUGUUGGCAGCUGGUUAAACUGUAAGAAAGAGCUGUACUAAUGGAAGGGGUUGCUUUACAUCUGGACAUCUGGAUGCUUUAAGACCUAUGGUGUGCACAUCCAUUCAUACACUGGGAGGUUUUCCAGAACUCUGACACAAUGGAGCAGUUGUGGAAGACAGCAGGUAGGAGAUGGAACAAAAGCACAGGUCAGGCUGGGGACAGAAAUUAUGCUUUUUAUUCAGACAUUGCAGGGCAUGCACAGGACAUCAGGCAUGUUGCUAAAACAUGGCUGCAGCACCAAAUGCUGCCUGCUGCCCUAACACACAGGGGCUGUGAAUAACUCAUGGCUUGUUGUGGUCCUGGAGUACAAAAACACCACUACUUUUCUUUAAUUACAAAUAGUUAAGGUAUAUCCUUCCAUUCUACCAGGCAGAUGUCCUGAAGCACCAUGGCAGCAUCAGAGCAGGUGCUAUGUGAGAAGGCAUGUUGUGAAUGAAGCUACAAGAACGUGCACUUACAUUUACACCGGGUUUAUUUACAAGCACACCUCACCUGGGACAGUGACAUCUGAAGGGCUAGCCUGCUCCAUCCCCAUGGUCCCAGCAGGCAGCAUGUCUCUACACCAGAGCAGAAGACAGCAUGGUGCUGUGUUCAGACUGUGCUAAUCCUGCCAUGUGUUUUGAAGAUGAUGUGUUUCCUGUUGCCUUUCACCUUGUGGCUGCACAGAUCCCUUCUGCUGGAUGGCAAUCUUAAAGGAUGCUGAUGGGAAAUCCCAGGAAGCUGCUCUCUGAUCUAAGUCACGCUGCUGGCAGAGGGAAGUCUCCAACACAUGCAGGCAUGGCACAGGGUGUUCCCCGCCGCUUGGCACAUACUGCAGUCGAUAGCCCUCAGCAGGAUCUUGCAUUCAAUAUUAUGCUGUCUAAGAGGCUUAAAAUUGACUGCAAAGCUUCGGUACAACUACAAAAAAAUCUUGUUUUCAGUUUCGCCUCUGGUGGAUUGCUCCAGAAUGAGACAGAGCAACUUGGUAAUUUAUUCUUGGAAUAGGGAUAGUACAUCUGCACUGGAGUAUUUGGAAUUGCAUUAUGUAAUAUGAAAAGCAGUCAUUCAUUUGAACUCCCCUUGUGGGAACAGCAGCUGCCCAGACAAAUUCCAUGUGAAGAUGGGAAAUGUGACAGAAAUCAGACAGAGCCUGCUUCUGUGUGCUGCAGAAACAACUGAGCAGUUUUGCGCCCACUAGGAAUGCCUUGCAUUCUAUCUUGCUCUCCACAGCUUGUUGUAGGUUCUUAUACCAGCUCCUGACAGACCCCCAUUUGCUGCUGCAAAAAACCAUAUAGUUGCUAGUGUCAGACAAAUGCUGCUGUCAGAGCAGAACUUGACAUAACAGCCCAUUUAAGCCACCAGCCCAGGAGCAGGAAUGGCUGUGGAGAGCCACUGCAGCCCUCCUCACCCUUGCUUAAGCAUCCUGCCUUGCUCUGAGCUGCUCCAGCGGGCAGAACUCAGGAGUGUGCUGGCUCUGAUGGUCCUCGCUCAGUGCAGUGUGUGCCACACAACCCCAUUGGCUGUGACAAAACAUGGUGCCUCUGGGUCCCUGCCUUCCCUCCAGGAAGCGCCUGCAGUCCAGCACAGUGUCUCCUGCUUUAUGUUCCCCAGACAAGCUGUUAUCACCGCAGACAGCUCUGCCACUGCUGAGAGUAUCAUUUGAAAGAGGACUAUCAAUGCAGGUGACCUGAAUCCUGAUGUGGCAGUGCAGACGUGGGGUCAGCAGUACACCACUGCAACUCUUUAAUGCUGACUUUUUGGAUACAGGGCAGGAUGUGUCAGGAUCAGUCGUUGCACAUGAUCCUGGAGCACUGAAGAAAAGCAAGAACAACUGUUCGCAAUUAGCUCCAAGUAUGUAUUGCCCACCAUCUUAUCUCUGAUAGUGGUCAAGAGCUAUUAUUGUGGGCAGUGCGAGAAGGGGGCAUAGCUACUGCAGUAGCAGUACCACCCAGAAUACUUGAUGAUAUGAAGCUCAGAGGCCUCGGAAACAAAAAUAGGGUCUUCUAUUUAACCAGUGUGGGUGGAUUUCUUUUUCUCCCACAAUGAUAUUUAACUUCUUUUUGAAUGCACAUAAACCUCAAUGACCCACUGUAUCCUCUGUUAAGCAGUUUGACACUGCAUAGUGCAUAUUAAAAAAAAAACAACUGCUUUUUGUUUUGUAGUCACUACCUCCUAAUUUAUGGGGCACUGAUGGUUCUUAUAUCAAAGGGACAAUGAGAAACCACACUGAAGUCAAACUCUGUCUGCCAAACUUGAUUUCAUAAUCCUGUCACACUUUUCUUCAGCCAUCUCUUCUCUGGGCUAAAGAGACUUUCUACUUUUCCUCAUAUGGAAGAUAUUCUUUGUAUUUGAUUUGCCUUGUUGCUCUUCUCUGAAACCCUCCCAACUCUAUUUUUCUUGAGAGAAGCCAACCAGAGUUCCAUAUGGUAAUCACAAUGCAGUCUCCACUAUGGCUCUGUUCAGUGGCAUAUCUCUGAUCUGUUCUCUCUUAUUUUCCUAAUAAUUCUUAACAGUCAGUUUGCCUUUUGGACUGCUCCUGGGCAUUGAGCAAACAUUUCCAUAGAACUGUCCCUGUCAGUCACUAUCUGGUUUUAUCUCGUUUAGCCCCAAGCACUCAGUCCUGAAGAGGGAACAGUUACAGCACCUGGAGCUGCAAGCAAAACCUCGCAAGAAAGAAAGUGCAAAUGUCCCAGAACUUUUGCAGGGUUAAGACCACCUGGCUGCGUCUCAUGUCUACAAAAUCAAGGACAGCUGCUAAACAUCUGAAAAACAAGACAUUAUGAAUUAAGAUCAGUCUCAUGAUGCUGCAGCCCUGUCCCCUGCCAGCAUUUUACCAUUGUGCCAGUGCAACGAGUCCCAUGGUCGCUCUCGAUGACUUCAGGUGUCCCGUAGGCAGCCAUCAGUUUGACUCUGGCCACGCUGCUGAUAAUUCGUAUUUGUUGAUAUUCCUCAGCAGCCAAACACACACAGUAUGCCCCAGACGGUACCCAGAUGUGAUUGGAGCCGAUACCCUCUUCCUGCGAACAGAGAAUUGCAAAUUAUCACUACAGCAGCAGAGGAAUAACCUUUACGGCUCAUUAAAAUUCCACAGAUUCUGCUCUGUUUUCCCUUCCGCGAACCCAAAGGGCACUGCUGGUGGAAUGGAAUUCCCCCCCCGCCCCCGCACCCGUCAGGUUCGGGCCGGGAUGUGACAUCUCCGUCUGUCCGCCGUCCCCGCCCGUGCCUGUGCCGGUAGGGGCGCCGGGCCCCACCAUGCGCCCCGAGGAGCCAUAGGACGGGGUCCGGCUCGGAGCCCUCCGCAUACGGUCGGGGAACGCGCUCUGCCGCAGCGUGCAGCCCCGCCGCGAGCCGCCUCUGAGCCGCGCCGCGCUC